AAUGACAAAUCGGCUUUCGGAUCGAGUGAGAUAAAAUUGAACUUUUUUGCGUAAAAUGUGAUCUUGAAGUGUAUUUUAAUAGUGAAGAUGUGUUAACCUGAACUUUUUUCGCAAAAAUACAUUGAAUUUUGGCCCAAUAAAAUAAAUUUCAUUCAGCUAAACAUAAUUACAUGGUUGCAUCAAGCAACCACUUGUUGAAUUUAUUUUUUUCCAUUCAGCGCAUAUGUAUUGUGAUUUGCAGUAGUUGUGCACAAGAAAGUGGAAGUGAUAGAAUCAUGCGCAACUGUUUGUAAACAAACCGUAUGCACUAAAAAUUUGUUAAAAGUUAAUACCGGUGAGAUAGGUGACUGGAAGAAAAGAAAAAUAAGUCAUAUGUUACAACUAUUCUUUGUUCAGCAUGUUACAUUCAAACGAUGUACGUCCAAGAAACCGCGAUCAAAACAUAAAUAUGGAUCCAGUUUUAAUCGAUGAAAGGCAAGAUGUGCAGAAAAAGACGUUUACUAAGUGGAUUAAUGGCUAUUUGGCCAAAUCCAACACACCUGUUAUCAACGAUUUAUUCGAAGAUUUACGCGAUGGUCACGCACUACUAUCUUUGUUAGAAAUUUUAACAAACCAAACAUAUAAACGCGAAAAAGGAUCAAUGCGGGUACAUCACAUUAAUAAUUUGAACAAGGCACUUUUGGUGUUGCAGGAGUUUGGAGUCAAGCUUGUUAAUAUUUCAAGUGAUGACAUAAAUUCUGGAAACGCGAAGCUUACGCUAGGUCUCAUUUGGUUAAUAGCGUUGAGUUUUGACGGCCAGAAGCUAGUUAAUUCACAAGCAGUCAGUGGCAUUGAGAAAUCGUUACUUAAUUGGGUACGACAGUACGUGGAAAAGCAUGGUGUUAAGGUUAAUGAUUUUUCAUCAAGUUGGUCAGAUGGAUCAGCUUUUUUAGCACUACUAUCUGAGGCAAUUGAUACGUUUGAUUUGAAAACGGCCUUAAAAAAACAUCCAAUUGCUAGACUGCGAAUGGCAUUUGACCUAGCCUUUCAAAAUUUAGGCAUAGAACAGCUUCUAGAUCCGGAGGACGUGAAUACGAGCAAACCUGAUAAAAAGUCAAUCCUUAUGUACGUCAUGUGCUUGUAUAAUGCAAUCGAUAGUAGAAAAUUGGAAAAAGGAAGCAUUCAACAUUUGGCACAACACGUGGAAAGUAUGGAGGAAAUACAAUUGUUAAGCGAACGUGAACUUGAAACGGCAGAUGAUGAUAGUAAAAUGGAUUAUGACCAGCGUGAUUCAUAUCCUAACAACGAUCACAAUCCAUCACAUGCUGGAAAUUUAACACACCUGGAGGAAAUUUCACUUGCAAAAUCUAUUGAUGAUUUGCGGAACUUCAAUAGGGAAAAUAAGGUGAAGCGAAUUUCACAAACAAAACCUAUUGUUCAAAGAGUUGAACAAACAGAAAUUGUUAGUUCGAAUUUCAAAUUAGUGGAUCCAAUAUCAGUUAAAAUUGAUGCCUUUUACUGGGAGCCGAAAUCCUCGCGUCCUGUUUCAACUGCCACUAAUUUUUCUGUUGAAUUUAGUGGCUAUCAAACAGCCGUAGAAGAAGUCUUAACGAUGUUGCUGGAGGCAGAAGAAAUUUUUUCUAAAGAAAUGGAAGAAGCUACAGAUUUAACUGUAGCGAAAAAACAGUUUCACGAUCAUGAGGAGUUCAUGGCGAAAUUAUCCGAAUAUCAAGCAUUUGUUUGCGGCGCUCUUGACGAGGGUUCUCGUCUUAUUAGCGAAUCACAAUCAAAUCCUGGAUCUCAAGUCUUGGAUAUGGAAGGCCAACAUGAGAUAAAACAGCAACUGUUUCUUCUCAAUGAACGAUGGGAAAUGUUACGAGUGAAUGCUCUAGAACGGCAAACUACAAUUCACACAAAAUUAGCGGCGUUACAAAUGGAAAAGUUGGAAGAAUUAAAAUUGUUUUUAACAACGAUCGAAGAUCGCAUAUCGCGGAUGCACGAUGUUGGCCCAACUCCGUUGGAAUUGAAGACACAACUGGAAGAACACAAACAACUACAAAACGACAUGGAAGCGCAAGAAAAAUUGGUUGAUAGUUUGAGCAAUUUAGUCAUUAUUAUUGAUUCGGAAAGUUUCAGUGACUUUGAAGAUAAGUUGUCUGCCUUAGAAGAGCGUUGGUCACAUCUAAUAAAAUGGAUAGCGAUCAGAUGGGAUAAGUUACAAAAUAUUAGUCAGCGCUGGACUAAAUUAUCGGAACAAUAUCGCAUCAUUUGUCGUUGGAUCGAGUGUCGCGAGCAAAAUCUAAAAAAAAUGGAGACAAAAGAAUCAGUUGAUAUGGGUGCAAUGAUGGAACGAAUAAAAUGUUUACAAUAUUGCAAAUGUGAUAUAGACAUGCUUAUGAACUGCUUGCAGGAACUGGAAAAUUCAGCCCAGGCACUUUCUGAUGAGGGACUGUCAUCGUUGAAUAUUCUUUCUAAAAUUGAGCAUUUGAGUGAUAUGUGCGAGGCACUCGUUCAAAUUUUGAAAGUACAAGAAACGCGAGUGGAACAGAUGGGUUUUCAAAUUCCGACAGCAUCCUACGAUAAUGAGGGAUUGAGACACAAUUUGAUUAGGCCUACAUCGUGGGAGGAUUUUCAAAUAAAAAUGUUGGAAGAAUCUAAAAUCAACUCUAAAAGGGAUGAAAUUUGUAUGGAUAAUCUUGAUUACGCCCCACAGUCUGAGAAAAAACGUAAAAUUGAACAGCCAGAAAUGGUAAUUCAAUUAAAUGAGUUGAUGUAUGAAAUCAACAAUGCCCUGCACGAAUGUGUUUCGAAAUUAGAGCAAUUUGAUAAAGCUGACAUGAAAAAUAAAUUCUUAUUGUUAGAACAGGCCGAUACAAUAUUAAACAAAAGAAAAGAAGAUUACUCAAAUGCAAGCCAAAUGCUAAACCAGUGUAAAAUAAUGCCAUCUAUUGACAUCGAAAUUGAAAAUCAACAGUUGACCGAAAUUGGUAAUUUACUAAAAACACAACAAGCAAAACUUUCACUCCUGAAAGAACAACUUAAACAUUAUGUCGAUAAGGACACAUUCAACAAAAGUUUAACUGGACUUAAGCUUAUUUUGGCAGACACGCGUGAUUGGUAUCAACAAAACACGAAUGUAUUAUCCUUAGAAGACCUUGAAAACAGAUUAUCAAACAUGGGGUCUUUUGAUACCGACAUCGAAAAAAACCGACAGCUUCUUUUAGCAAACGAUGAUGAAGAAUGGCACGAUUGGAAACACGAUUUUGAUCUUUUCCUUGAAAGCUGGAACGAUAUGAAAAAUGCUAUUUUUCGUUUAGCCGUUGAAAAAAAAGUUUCCAAAGGAUCUAGUGAACAUAUACAGUGCAUUCAAGAUAUUGCGCAACAGAUAAAUGACCUCCCAAUAAUAUAUUCGGAUUUACUAAGCAUGCAAAACAAUUUAGAGAAAAUUCACGCUUUAAAAGUGAAACAUAAUGAAGCUAUUGAGAAAAAUUGUGGUGAAAUACUGACUAUUAUGUCUAAUGAUAGUAGAUUUACAGAACUUAUAACAUCUUGGUUCAACAUCCCUCAGCAAUUGAAUGAAAAUAUAAUAAAACAAAACAUUGCUAUAGAAAACCUGAAUCAUUUCAAUUCUGAAUACUGCUCUAUUGGGCAGGAGCUUGAUAAUAUAGAAGAGAAGUUAAAAAAUGAGAUGUUCAUUCUGGGUGAAAUUAAAACUUUACAAUUAAAAUAUAACGAAUAUGAACAGUACGCAAAUUUAAUAAAAAAAAUAGAAAUAGACAUAAUAAGUGUAAGAAAUUUUUCUGAAAUAAUAGUUAAAAAUUAUCAAAAUGAAUCUAAAUCUGCGCUGGAACUACAAGUUCAAGUUCUCUGCGAACGGCAUGCAGCUAUUUCCGCACGCUAUCAACAGAAUUUGAUUAAACUAAAUCACAUCAAACAAAGCACAGAAAGUAUUUUGGCGCAAGUUAACGAAACAGAGUUGUGGUUAAAUGAUUUGGAAAUGAAUACACCAAAAAACCUCAAUUCUGAAAUCACCAGCCUAAAUGAGCUUUACCAAAUUAAAUCAAAAUUUCAAGCACUUAAAGACACUUGUGAGCAGCAGACAUUUAAAUUUCGGGAAUUAAACGAAUCUGGUAAUGAAAUUUUACUGCAAAUUGAUGAGUUGAUUCAAACGAAAUCGGAAAACAAAGUUUCGUAUUUAGCAAAAAAAUUUACUAAAUUGAAUGCUCGCUGGAGUGAAGUUACCUCACUUGUUUACACCAGAACCGCAAUUUUGGAACAUGUAUCUAGUCAGAUGGGAGAAUUUAAAACAUUGAUAGUUGGAGCCAAUGGUUAUUUAGAUAAAUUAGAAAAACUUCUAAGGAAGAGCCCUGAAACAGCUGCAGACGCAGAAGAAAUAUCCGAAGAACUUGAUGAUAUCGAGAAUUAUAUAAGAAAUCAUCCUCAAGCUCGAUUUGAUAAAAUUAUAUCAAUUGGAAAAGAUCUUUGUGAUUUGGAGUUUAUGGUUUCAUCAAUAGAGGAAGAUUUGCGAUCUCUUAGCGAACGCUGGGAUAGCUUGCAGGCACAGGCAAAACAACGAACAACGAAACUCGAACAAGCAGUUAAAGAAGCUCAGUCAUCUGAAAGUCAAGUGUCUUGUUUACAACAGUGGAUAUUCCGUGUCGAUGGGAUCUUGAGUGACUACAUCGAGAAUGAUACCACAGUAGAGGAUGUUCCAAAUGAUUUCCAAAAACUACAAGAAGAGUUCGAACAUCAUGAAAAAGUCAUGUUGGAGAUGAUAAAAAAAGUAGAUCAUUAUAAAAAACAGGGAAAAUUAGAAGCUGCAAACCGAUACCAAGAUCAAAUCAAGCUAUUGCAGGAACAGUUCAAAUCAUGUCAACUUAAACUAAACCGCUUGACGUCUGCUCAAGCUACAUUCGAGGCAAAAUUAAACCAUGCACUCGGUGAGCUACGCAAUGUAGAAAAAAACGCCAUUAUACUAGAUCCUUCCUCAGCGGGGCCAGGCCAUUUACAAGAUCAAUUCCAUCACUGUUUAAAAAUGUAUAGAAUAUUAUCAGAAAUAAAAGGUGACAUAGAGCAGGUCAUUAGAACUGGACGCAAAGUAUGCGAAGAUAAAACUACUCGGAAUCCCAUUAAAUUAGGACAAAGAAUAGACACACUCAAACAUUUAUAUAAUUCGCUUGGCGAAACUGUUACUCAAUCGAAAAUAAUUUUGGAAAAUUUACUAAAGAUAAUGCGUAACAUAGACGAUAACUUGAGUUUCGUUCAAGAAUGGAUCAAUGAUAGUAACAAUAUACGAUUUACAGAGGAGCAUGAGCAAACUGCUGUUGAAAAAUUGAACAUUUGCAAUGAACUGUACGAAGAGUACAAAGAAACAUGUGAACCGCUUUAUCUUGAAGAGUUGAGAACUCGCAUCGACGAUGUUGAACAGCAGUUUAAAGAUUUCCGUAACACAAUGGUGAAAAAGAAAUUAUAUCAGAUGAAAAAUACCUUGCAAAACGUUGAUUCUGUUAAUAUAGAAGUUCUGAGAUCCAUGGAAGAGGAUCUCAGUAAAGUUGAAUCGAAUAGUGACGCAGAAGUGGAGGAUUUACUUAAAAAAGUUUCACAAAUAUUACAGGACGCACUGAAAGCUUCUCGUCGUGAUGUACUGGAUGACGGCGAGUUUGUAGUACUUAGUGACACAGUUCGUCAACGUCGUAUAAAGAUUUCCAGUUCAAAGCCAGAAGAACAAAUGCAAAACAGUGAUCAACUUUCAAACGCUUUACCCGACCUUUUACCAACCACCUUCCGGCUUGCAGAGACCAGCUCUCUGUUUUCAAGCGUUUUUAUUAAACGAUCGCCAUCAUCGCCAAGAUCUGACAUACUACAUAAUACUUCUAACGAAUGCUCUGUGGUUGAAAUCAAAGAAAAAAAUGUUAGUCCUAAAAUGUCCGUGCAAAAUGUAAAUGUACCGAAGCAAGGCCAAGUAAUUGAUACGAUUAAUAUACUAGAAACAUGCAAGUCUUUCGAACCAGAAUAUGUUGAAACUGUUCAUAUAAUUGAUGCGUCAUCGGAUACCGAUACAAGCUGUUCUUCACCAAUGCCAGAAAAAAAGAAAAUAUCGAACGUAAUUGAAAAUAGUGUCAACAUAUUACAAUACGUUGAUAACCAUGCGGACAAACGCCCAAACAAAUUACUGCCACUUUCUCAUCAAAUCCUGGAGACUACUUCUAAAUUGAAAAAAGUUACGUGUACUCAAAACGCUCUGGAGAGAGACAGUUUUUAUAAUUCGGAUAAAGAAAAUUAUGAUGAACCACUUGUGUUCUCUGAGGAUGAAGAUAUUCCAAGAUAUUCAAUCGAAAUGGCUACGGAUUCUGAUAGUGACACGAGUCGCAUUGAAACACCGAGUAAAUUAGCUGAGAAAAGUUUUAAAAUUUCAUCUCCGGAAGAACAAACACCGUUAAGUCCCAGUAUUUAUCAGUAUGAUUCAUAUAAAACAUUAACUUCGCUUGAGCAGCGCGUAACUGAAUUCGAUAAAACUGCGAAGUACAUGAUUAAAAAACUGGAGCAAACACGUAGAAAAAUUGACAACUGCGAUGAUGGUUCAGGAGUGAUAGAAAAUCUAAAGCUUACGAUAGCUCCAGACGCAGCGACGCUGAUUUCACAAGGAGACACACUAAUAUUGGAAACUCAUGGUAAAUCAGAAUCGCUAACAAAAAGAUUGAUGGAUACACAAGCGCAAUUGCGAGACAAAUUCAAGGAAGUUCAAAAGUCAAGGAACUGUAAAGCGGUCGAGGAAUCAUCACAUAAUUUAAAUGAAGGUAGCGAUACAUAUCAUGAUUUACUCCUUGUGAAACCAAUAGAUUUGGAUGAAAUUUCAACCAAGGUACUUAAACGGAUAUGUGACCUACUGUCAAAACCAUUUACUAAAGACAACGAAGUUGAAUUAACCAAGCGUAUAUUAGACAUUAAGGAACGACAAGAAGAGGUUAAGUUAGCCAUAGGAGUUGCUUCUCAAGCUACUCCGUCUAAUAACGUAUCAAACACGAUGACUAAUUUGGAAAAGGGAAUGCGAGAUUUGACGAUUCACUUUGAUGAGACUAUUGCUGCUUUAGUUUCGUUAAAUAAUAGCGGCAGCCAGGAGGCCACCAAUUUGUUGAGCGAACACGAAUCAUCGAAAAAUAUUACCUUGAUGAAAAACCUUUGCCUACCUGGAGUAUUACAGUACGAUGGCUUUGAAGCAUGUAGUAUUGAUCAUUUAGCAAGUAUAAGGUCGGAAAUUUCUAAAAAUAUUGAAGUUUUUCUAGUUAAACCACUACUCGAACGUACUGAAGAAGAAUUAACUAAAAGGCUACUAGACAUGAAGGUCAUGCAAAAGGAGUUUGAAUUAAAGGUGGGCGCUGCAUCUCAAAAUAAAACCAAUGAUAAUAAGUCUGAAAUAAUGAGCGUUUUUGAAAAAGUUACAAGAGAACUUUCUACUCAUUGUGAUGAGGUUGUGAAUGCAUUAGCUGCGUUGAAUAACACACGAUUUAAUAACCUAGAAAAUACAAGCGAGCAGGUGCAAAAUCAAGAUUCCGAGGGUUACAUACCAGGAUCAUUUGCUGCAAAGUCUCGUGCAAAAGCUGUAGCUGCUGCAUUGACCAAUAAUUUUGACCGUUCAGUAACUCAAAUUAUGAAUUGGUUAGAAAUAGAAUGUGAAAUGUUAAAAAAGCGGUGUAUUGUAGUAGGAGAUAGCGAGAUGAUACUAGGAGCAAUAGAUAAAUUAAAGAACAUGUCGAACGAAAUGGAUGUUAAAAAACCACACAUUGACGAGUUAGUUAAUACAGCGGAAACUUUGAAAACAGACCUGAACAAGCAAUUCCUGCACAGUAAAGUGUCUCGAAUGCGUGAGCAGUGGGAUGAAACUUCUCAAACGGUUCUUCAGCGUAAAUCCCAGUUGACCGCGAUGCUGGGCGACUCGCAGAGAUACGACGCGAAGCGCAUUGAAAUAGAAAAUUGGUUAUCUCGAAUGGAAUCGCGUUCAGAGAGAAUGGGCGUUGUGGCAACAACAGCAGAUGUGUUGGAAAUUCAACAGAAAGAACAAAAAUCUUUCCAUGCUGAACUUCAUCAAUAUAAACAUCACAUAGACCUAUUCAAUCAAUUAACACAAAAGUUAAUUGCAGUGUACCCAUCCGAUGAUACUUCAAGAAUCAAGCGCAUGACCGAAUCUGUCAAUAUACGGUAUACCAACUUGAAUAACGCAGUAAUAUCAAGAGGAAAAAUGUUGCAUGCCGCAGUUCAUUCAUUGCAAUCAUUCGACAGAACUUUGGAUCAGUUUUUGGGCUGGUUAAGCGAAGCAGAGUCAUUAUGUGAAAACACUGAGUCAGAAAUCGAUAGGAACCCUCAUUGCUACAAGGACCUUCAAUCUGAAAUCGAGUCUCAUCGUGUUGUUUAUGAUCGGUUGGAUAAUACUGGUCGGAAAUUACUGGGAUCGCUUACAUCACAAGAAGAUGCUGUUAUGCUGCAACGACGACUGGAUGAAAUGAACCAAAGAUGGAAUCAUUUAAAAUCAAAAAGUAUUGCAAUAAGGAAUCGUUUAGAAUCUAACUCCGAGCACUGGAAUACCCUUUUGCUAUCGUUGAGAGAACUUACGGAAUGGGUAAUUCGGAAGGAUACAGAAUUAACCUCUUUGGGGCUCGGGCCGAUGAAAGGAGACGCAGGCAGUUUGCAGAAACAAAUGGACGAUCAUCGUGCUUUCCGUCGGCAGUUAGAAGAUAAACGACCCCUAAUAGAAAAUAAUCUUCUUAGUGGCCGCCAAUAUAUUGCCAAUGAGCCUCCUCUAUCAGAUACCAGUGAUUCAGAAGCUAUUGACAGUGAUUCACGAUAUAUGUCAUCGGAAGAACAAAGCAGAGAUUUAACAAGAAGUAUACGACGAGAAAUUACUAAAUUAUCCGAACAGUGGAAUAAUCUCAUUGAUCGCUCAGAUAACUGGAAACAUCGGCUAGAUGAGUUUAUGACGAAAAUGCGCCAAUUCCAAAAAGUGCUCGAAGAUUUGAGUUCACGUGUUGCUUCGGCAGAAACUUUAUCUCAAUCAUGGACUACCCCAGCGAGUGCUCCCGAUGCUGCGGAGCAAAUGCAACACCUACAACGAUUGAAGGAUAAAAUGACGACUGCGGGUGCAUUGUUAGACGAUUGCAACGAACAGCAAAGUUUUUUCACUGCAAACCAUGUUCUAGUACCCAAUCAAUGUCUUGCUAAACUUGAGGAUCUGAAUACCAGAAUGAAAUUGCUCCACAUUGCAAUUGAAGAACGACAUAAGGCAUUAGUGGCAAACGGAGCGAAUCAGCCUACGAUAAUAGAUGCAGAUGGUAACAAAACGGCAUACGGUGUCAGUACUGGUACGAUUGGCCCUGUUCCGAAUCUAGCAACGAGUGUGAAAACGCCUUGGGAAAGAGCAACCACGCCUGCCAAUGUGCCUUACUAUAUCAAUCACGAAAGAGAAAAUACACACUGGGAUCAUCCGGAAAUGAUUGAGCUCAUGAAGUCACUGGCCGAUUUGAACGAAGUUAGAUUUUCAGCAUACAGAACUGCAUUGAAAUUGCGUACAGUCCAAAAACGGUUAGCGUUUGAUCGCCUAGCAAUGAACGUUGCUAUAGAGUCAUUCGAUCGUCAUGGUUUACGAGCGCAGAAUGACAAGUUGAUCGAUAUACCGGACAUGAUUACGGUCUUACAUUCGUUGUAUGUCACCAUCGAACCAAUUGAUAUGCCACUAAUGCUAGAUCUUGCUAUUAACUGGAUGCUUAAUGUGUAUGAUUCACAACGAACCGGUCAAAUUCGAGUACUAAGUUUUAAAGUUGGUCUAAUUUUACUUUGUAAAGGGCAUUUGGAAGAAAAAUAUCGUUAUUUGUUUCGACUGAUUGCGGACUUAGAGAAAAAAGUAGACCAACGUAAAUUGGGAUUGUUGCUGCAUGACUGCAUACAAGUUCCACGCCAGCUGGGAGAAGUUGCUGCAUUCGGUGGAUCGAAUAUCGAACCGUCUGUGCGUUCUUGCUUUGAGCGUGCUGGUGUCAACCAAAGCGGCGAAUUGUUAGAAACGUCUAUUGAAGCACAACAUUUUCUGAAUUGGCUGCAACAUGAGCCGCAAAGUUUGGUGUGGCUUCCGGUGCUCCAUAGAUUAGUUGCAGCAGAAAUGGCAAAACAUCAAGCGAAGUGUAACAUUUGCAAAGAAUAUCCUAUUAUUGGAUUCCGCUACAGGUGUUUGAAAUGCUUCAAUUUUGACAUGUGUCAAAGAUGUUUCUUUUUGGGUAGGAAUGCUAAGAAUCAUAAACUGUCACAUCCUAUGCAUGAGUACUGCACGACAACGACAUCAACAGAAGAUGUUAGAGAUUUUACAAGAGCAUUGCGCAAUAAAUUCAAGAGCAGAAAGUACUUUAAAAAACAUCCUCGAGUAGGUUAUUUACCCGUGCAAAGUGUUUUGGAAGGAGAUGCUUUAGAGAGUCCUGCUCCCAGUCCACAGCAUGGUACACACACAUUGCAAAACGAUAUGCACUCGAGACUGGAAAUGUAUGCGUCUCGAUUAGCACAAGUAGAGUACGGCACUCGUAGUAAUUCAACACCAGACAGUGAUGAUGAGCAUCAAUUAAUUGCCCAGUAUUGUCAAUCAUUGCCGAAUAAUGGCGGCCCUAAAUCACCCGUUCAAGUCAUGGCAGCUAUGGACGCAGAACAACGAGAAGAGUUGGAAGCAAUGAUCAAAGAUUUAGAAGAAGAAAACGCAUCGUUGCAAGCAGAAUAUGAACGCCUAAAAUCCAAACAAACACCUAUUACCACACCAGAUGAAACUCUAACCACCCAGACCAUCCAAUGCGGAGGAAAUGACAUGAUUGCAGAAGCAAAAUUAUUGCGGCAACACAAAGGACGCUUGGAAGCAAGAAUGCAAAUUCUUGAAGAUCAUAAUCGACAGUUAGAAGCACAGCUACAACGACUGCGGCAGUUACUUGAUGAGCCAAAUUCGUCAAAAGCUUCUACACUUCAAACGAGAUCUGUAACGGCAUCUCAGCUCAAUACGGAGUCACCUGCAAAGUUGCAGCAAAAUGGACAUUAUGAACAAAAUUCGAAUAUUGAAAAUGGCACAUCGACAAUCGCACCAUCUCUUUAUACUGGCACUAAUCCUGGUCUUCCUGGUGCUGAUCAUGUUAAUCCAAUAUCUUUAAGCGGUGGCGGAAAACAUCAAACAAUUAUCGGGAACACUUUUAACUCUGUUGAUACACGACCUCCACCUCCACCUCACACAAGUCUUUUACAUAUGGCUGAGAUGCGCCUAAUAUCAGCAAAAAAUUUGGAUUUUACCGAAUAUUCGACUCGCCGAAUAGUAAGUUACAUUAUUCGGUCGAAUAACCAGGAAAUAAAAUAGAAGCACUGUGUUUUACACUUUUAGAGCUGCUUAUACGCAAGUGACGUAUAUAAUUCAUUCAUAUCACAGGUCACUAAUCUUAUUUAUGGUGACUUAAACAAGGCCGUUGAAGAACUGGUUAACGUUAUUACUGAACAGGAAAUUGAGCAACAUAAUAACAGUAACGGAAUUCGUAGUUUGACUGAUAAAUAAUUUGUGCAAUCCAACAAUUUGCUCGUAAUUUGGUGUAUUCUACAGUUUGUAAUAUUUACAACUGUUUUCUUGGCGACCACAAUCUGCUACUAGGAACAUAUUGUUUCUGAAUAAAUAAUAUCCAAACUACAUUUGUCGUACCAAUAUGCUAAAUGGCAAUUUUGCCUAUUUUUUGAAUACUAACCAUACUAGGACAUGCUAUUAUAAUCGAACAAUUCUAUAAUUAUUUCCAUAAGAAAGGUAGAUAAAAGUUUUCAUUUCUGGACAUAACAGUUUUAAACACACACCAUUGACAUUAAUAAAUUUGUACUUUUGUGAAUGAUUAUACCGAAACACACACAAUCAAUAAUUAUAUCACGUUUCUAUGAAAACACAAAGCUAUCGAAAUUAAAAUUAAAUUAAAUAGGAUUCAUAUCACAGUAUAGUGUACUUAUCGUUAGAAGUUGAGUUAGAACAAUCAUUUCGCGUACACUGAGAGAAAAACACUUAAGAAUUCCAUAAGUUACAACUUAUGAACAUGUAUAAUGUUGAUUUCAUUAAACACUUAUGCAUUACAUAUCAAGCUUAUAAAUUUCAUAAGUAUAUUUUAAGAUUUUCAUAUAAACGUCAUGUGCAUCCCAUACGCGUAAUUUAUGAUUUUCAUAAACGUUAAUAUUGCGAAAAUUCUAUAUGCAUAUUUUGUAAAAUCUGCAAAAUGGCAGACCAGCACUACGGUGGAUAAAUAAUUAUGCAGAAACUGGGUUGAAAAUAGGAGCAAAAAACUGUAGGUACCUCUCUACAAAUCCUACUAUUACAUCAUGUCAUCUAUGUUUAUUCUAGCAACUAUUGAAUCUUGUAAUCGUUGAAGAGGACAACACUGACGACAUUCGGCAAGAAGAAUCAAAGGCGAAUUUGUUUCCCAAAUGGCAAAACCUCAAAGUGUCACCUGACGUAAUCCGACAUUAACUUGCACUCUUGAAUAUAUAUUUGCGAGUAAAGAACUAGUAUGAAGAAGUUGUUUUUUUUUUCUAACAAAACAUGUUUACAUAAAGUAUAAUCAAUUUCAUGGUAGCCAUUAUAAAAUUCACAUUGAAAAGCUAUGAUUUUGAUAUGUCUGUUCUUAUAACAUGCAUACAUACGACCAAUAAGUUUUAUAAGUGUGACUUAAAAAAAUCGUUAGUAAUCGAGAAUAAAAUUUCCCCUUCAAUUCAUAAGACAGACUUAUGACUUUUAUGAGGGAUCCUUGUGGAGCAAAAUCAUAAGGGGUUCUUAUGGAACUCAAUAGUUAUUUUUUCUGAGUGUAUAUAUCCAAAGCAGGUAUACAUAAUAAAAUAUAUAUAUUACACCUUAGAUUGAGAUCGGUUAUUAUGUUAUCAAGGUACGUUUCAGCAAUCGUUACAUUUAUUCAGAUUGAACUGUACACAGCUUAGUAUAUUAUAAAAUUUUAGUCAGUUAUUAGAAUCCAGCGCCAGUAGUCCUUAUAUUUUACAAAAUAGAUAUAUGCUACGAGACAGCGAAAAAAGAUUUUCGGUAGAAAAUAAAUACUUCUAAAAAUUGAUACGUGGAAGUAUCACAUGUUGAAUUAUCGUUUACAAACAUUUUAUACACAUCAUAUCAAUUGAGAAGAAACACUAAACCUAAAACAAGAAAUUGCGUAACAGUGGACAAAUGUUACCCCCUAUAGGGGUAUAAUAGUUGUAAUAAAAACUACGGAUAAUGUUAGUAUCAAGUUCGUACGUUUUUCAUAAAGAAAAUCGAAGAUAUAAACGAAUUGUCGUACUUCACUGGGAACAACUGAUUGUAAUUUUCAACCAAACUCAGUUUGCUCAAGAGAAUUUGACCCUCGAAAAAUCUGAAAGCAAAAGUAUUUUUUUAUGUGACUUCAUUUUUUCGCAAGUGUGUUCAAGGCAGUUUCCAAAUCGCAGUAGUUUUUAAUAAUCUCCUCUCUUGUAGAAGCAUACUGUUUGAAUGCCAUGAGUGAUGUAUUUUCAGAAAAACGCGAUAAUGGAAGAGAAGCGAUUAUUUGGAGACUCUAAUGAUGACAGAGAAAAACGAGAUUAUGCAAAAGAAGCGAUUAUAUAAAAACUCUAAUAACGAUAUUAGCGUUGUUUCGUUAUGUCGAAUUUGUUCUUGCGACGCAGCUACACUAGAACUACUCUUUUUCAGCGCCAUAUACACCCGAGUGAAAACCAGUGUAGUUGGAAACACUAACACAACUUGAAAUGUUGUCAAAUUUGAUAUAAAAAAGAUUGCUUCUACUGCAAAAAACUGACAAAUAAAAAAAGGUUUUUCUACUGUACAAGGGCCAGAUUCCCAAAGAGGAUUCUAAAUAAUGUACAUUCAAUAAGUUCAAACUCGAAGCAUUGGAACUAUUCUAGCAGUUUGAAAAAAACUAAUCCAAGAAUGAAUUUGCUAUGAUGAAGAAAAAAUGGCAGAGUGGUAUUAAUGUGCAGUACUACCAAGUAACUGGAUAUCGAAGAGCGCAAACUGAAUCACAAUAACUACAUUAUUUCUUUUCUUUUUUGAGUUUGUGUCGGCCCAAAACUAUGGUAAAUUUCGAAUACUAUUCAUUUAGUGCUAUUACAUUGAUUCAGUUAAAUUUUUAUAUUGAAUUAUAAUAAAUUCAUUUCGAUUUUUCAUUUUUCUUUUUUUUGGUUUCGCCUUUCAGAAUGGUAUAAAACAUUUAUGAAAUUAUGCGACAUUUUAUCAAGACGAAUAAUUAAAUUUUAACAUAACGAUUCAUUUAUGUCUAAGUAAUAAUAAGUAUUUGGUUUCAUUUGGGUAACGCACAGUGGGUUACGCGUUUAAAAAAUCUUCCACCUUUUAAAACUCAAGAAUAGUAAAUUAACGCCAUAUGAAUGUCAGCAAAAAUACUGGGAAAUAACGAACAUAAUAAUUAUAUUGUGUUAGUAUUAUUAUAUGAAA